rnacentral:rRNA from 1 species
UACGUAGGGGGCGAGCGUUAUUCGGAAUUACUGGGCGUAAAGCGUGCGCAGGCGGUGAUGUAAGUCCGAUGUGAAAUCCCCGGGCUUAACCUGGGAACUGCAUUGGUGACUGCAUCGCUCGAGUAUGGCAGAGGGGGGUAGAAUUCCACGUGUAGCAGUGAAAUGCGUAGAGAUGUGGAGGAAUACCGAUGGCGAAGGCAGCACCCUGGGUCAAUACUGACGCUGAUGCGCGAAAGCGUGGGGAGCAAACAGG